rnacentral:misc_RNA from 1 species
GUGAAUCAUCAAAUCUUUGAACGCAAAUUGCACUCUCUUGGGAGAGUGUGAGUGUGUGGGUGUCAGCCUAAUAAAAAUCGACAUAGAUGCUGUUACGCGGUAACAUUCGUCGGAGAUUGGGUCAUCUUAAACCUUGGGGGUUAAGCGGCUUAAAAUUUUAUUUACGAUUUCAAGUAGGUUGAUAAGAUUUUAUAUUCUUAUACGUUUAAGGUAUCGAUCUAUAUUAGACGUGGCCGUUGCAUUGGAACUCGUCCAUAA